CUCAAGAGGGUCUGAGGAAAGCCAUAUGACCCUUAGAAGGUGAUUAAAGUGUCAAGAAUAAGAAGUCUUAAGCAAAAGCCAAGCUUAUUGUUGCAAAAGUGUUACUGCUGAGCUGAACAGAGACGAUCUCAGGACGUCAUAAUGACAGAAGAUAUUAUCGUGUUCACAGAGAUUUAAAAAUGGAAAGCAUUUUAGUUAAAAGCAGUGACAUCAAUGAAGCAAAUGAAAUGAAAUUAAACAUGAAGACCAGCAGAUCAACAAACAGAAAAUUGCCUCCAGGAAGUGAAAUUACCAUUUUUCAUCCUCUUUUCCUUGAGGACCAGCUUGAGUGACAGUGGAAGCCAGUGGAAGUCUAAUGUACAAGGACAAAUAUAUUUGUACAAUAUAACAGAGAUGUUGAUUUCAUUGGGCCAAAGCUGCUGACUUACUGAGUGACUGGCUCUGAAAAGCUGCCCCUGAAGGCAGAGGAGGAAGGUAUGCUGUUUAGUUGGGUUUGCAGCCACACCAGGCAUCAUCUCAUUCUGGUGGAGAUGAUACAGGCAUGUUUCCAGCCAUUUGUUUUUCCUGCUGCUAUGUGUCCUGACAGCUCUGAGGAGGAGCGGGUCCACCAAGAGCAUGCUGUAGUCCUAAGUUUUGUAGUUGUCCAUGUUGAUGUGACAGUCCGGGUUUUCACUUAGGUUCUUAACAAGCAGCACUCUGAUUUAUCAGCAACUUGGUUUUAUUUAUCUUCUAAAUUCUGUCUCUGUCCCUCCUUGCCCACAGCAAUGUAUGUCCCCACCAUCAGUUUGCUGUAGUUGGGAUUUCUGACCUGCCUUGUUCACAGAGUAUGUAAAGUGGUCAGCAGAUCUGUCUUGUGUCCUUGGAGGAUUCUUAGUUAAUAUGAGCUUGAAUGUCAAGAAAAAACUGUUACAUCAAAACAACAACAAAAAAGCUUUGCUGGUGGAGCAGAUUGUCCUGCAAAGUAAUUACAGGAUAAAUAUUAGU